rnacentral:rRNA from 1 species
AUGAACGCUGGCGGCGUGUCUAAGGCAUGCAAGUCGAGUGGGUUCAGACCCACGGCAAACGGGAGCGUAACACAUUGGUAACUUGCCCCUAACCGGAGGAUAACCCGCCGAAAGGCGGAGUAAUACUCCAUUAAUUGCGCGAUCGCAUGUUCGCGCAAUAAAGAUUUAUCGGUUAGGGAGAGGCCUAUGGUCUAUCAGCUAGUUGGCAGUGUAAAAGACUACCAAGGCUAUGACGGAUAGCGGGUGUGAGAGCACGACCCGCCUCACUGGGACUGAGAAACUGCCCAGACACCUACGGGUGGCUGCAGUCAAGAAUAUUCCUCAAUGGGCGAAAGCCUGAAGGAGCGACGCCGCGUGACUGAAGAAGUCCUUCGGGAUGUAAAGGUCUUUUCUCCGGGACGAAACAAUGACGGUACCGGAGGAAUAAGAGGUUGCUAACUCUGU